rnacentral:tRNA from 1 species
UGUUCUGUGGUUUAGUUGGUUGAGGCGCCGUUCUAGAGAAUACGGAAUCGUAGGUUCGAAUCCCACUAGAACGC